CAACCACUCGCCGCGCCAGUCAUCGCGCGACCACGGCUGCUACGUGGCCGAAACGGCGAAACAAAAUUAAUAAGGCAGUACCUGUUAUGACGACACCCGACUGCCUGGCCCUGGGGACAAGACUGGCGCAGGAACUUUUCCAACAAGGCCGCGGUACCUACAAUUAACAGAACCCACUCACACGAAAGAGGAAGAUCCAGUUCAGCAGUCCUGGGAGCAGCACCCGCGACUCCUGGCCUCGCAGCCGUUGCGCCAUAUUUCCACAGACCG